AUGACGUUGAUAGGCCGGGUGUGUAAGCGCAGCGAUGCGUUGAGCUAACCGGUACUAAUGAACCGUGAGGCUUAACCUUAC
rnacentral:rRNA from 1 species